AUUGAACGCUGGCGGCAUGCCUUACACAUGCAAGUCGAACGGUAACAGGUUAAGCUGACGAGUGGCGAACGGGUGAGUAAUGUAUCGGAACGUGCCCAGUCGUGGGGGAUAACUGCUCGAAAGAGCAGCCAAUACCGCAUACGACCUGAGGGUGAAAGCGGGGGAUCGCAAGACCCCGCGCGAUUGGAGCGGCCGAUAUCAGAUUAGGUAGUUGGGGGGGUAAAGGCCUACCAAGCCUACGAUCUGUAGCUGGUCUGAGAGGACGACCAGCCACACUGGGACUGAGACACGGCCCAGACUCCUACGGGAGGCAGCAGUGGGGAAUUUUGGACAAUGGACGCAAGUCUGAUCCAGCCAUGCCGCGUGCGGGAAGAAGGCCUUCGGGUUGUAAACCGCUUUUGUCAGGGAAGAAAAGGUUCUGGUUAAUACCUGGGACUCAUGACGGUACCUGAAGAAUAAGCACCGGCUAACUACGUGCCAGCAGCCGCGGUAAUAC
rnacentral:rRNA from 1 species